rnacentral:rRNA from 1 species
UACGUAGGGUGCAAGCGUUGUCCGGAAUUAUUGGGCGUAAAGGGCUCGUAGGCGGUCCGUCACGUCGGGAGUGAAAACUUGGGGCUUAACCCCAAGCCUGCUUCCGAUACGGGCGGACUAGAGGUAGGCAGGGGAGAACGGAAUUCCUGGUGUAGCGGUGAAAUGCGCAGAUAUCAGGAGGAACACCGGUGGCGAAGGCGGUUCCCUGGGCCAUUACUGACGCUGAGGAGCGAAAGCGUGGGGAGCGAACAGG